UACGUAGGGUGCAAGCGUUAUCCGGAAUUAUUGGGCGUAAAGAGCUCGUAGGCGGUUUGUCGCGUCUGCUGUGAAAACUGGAGGCUCAACCUCCAGCCUGCAGUGGGUACGGGCAAACUAGAGUACGGCAGGGGAGACUGGAAUUCCUGGUGUAGCGGUGAAAUGCGCAGAUAUCAGGAGGAACACCGGUGGCGAAGGCGGGUCUCUGGGCCGUAACUGACGCUGAGGAGCGAAAGCGUGGGGAGCGAACAGG
rnacentral:rRNA from 1 species